GAAAUGCGAUAAGUAAUGUGAAUUGCAGAAUUCAGUGAAUCAUCGAAUCUUUGAACGCACCUUGCGCUCCUUGGUAUUCCUUGGAGCAUGCCUGUUUGAGUAUCAUGAAAUCUUCAAAGUAAAUCUUUUGUUAACUCAAUUGGUUUCUACUUUGGUAUUGGAGGUCUUUGCAGCUUCACACUGCUCCUCUUUGUUCAUUAGCUGGAUCUCAGUGUUAUGCUUGGUUCCACUCGGCGUGAUAAGUUAUCUAUCGCUGAGGACACUGUAAAAGGUGGCCAAGGUAAAUGCAGAUGAACCGCUUCUAAUAGUCCAUUGACUUGGACAAUACUUUUAUGAUCUGAUCUCAAAUCAGGUAGGACUACCCGCUGAACUUAAGC
rnacentral:misc_RNA from 1 species